rnacentral:lncRNA from 1 species
UUCAAAUUACUCCUCUUAUUUUAAAAACAUCAAGUUACUCUUUUUUUUUUUAAAAAAAGAAAAUAAAUAGGUGUGGACAAUGACUUAAUGAUUUUUUUCGUCUUUCUUAAUAAAAAUAGGAAUAAAUUGAGAUUUUUAAAUGUGAGAAAAGUGAUUUGAAAAUAGUUAAUUCUAAUCCACAAUUGACCUAAAAAAUUAGUAGAAAAACCCUAUACGACCCUCAUAUUUUGAAUGAAAAUAAAAAGAAAAUUGAAGUUUUAACACGUCUCAAGAUAAGUUGAACUAUUUUCUUUUCAGCUUAAAGCUGAAAUAAAGUUUGUCAAUUUUUAUUAAUUCACGCACUAAUUAUAAAAUCAGGAUAAAAAUGAAGAUGGGUAGGUGAAAUUUAACAAAUUAUUUUUUUUUAGUGCGAAAAUAUGGAAAAUAGAAAAUCAACUCAAAUUAUAAAAAUCAAUUAAUAAAUUACACACGAACUUUGACUGGGGGCUUGUUGGGAUCAUGAUUCAUGAUCAUUUUAACGGUGGACACUUCGUUAGUCAUCACAUCCUCGAUAUCGUUUUCUGUUUGACAGUCGCUUUGCGUCUCAGAAGACAUUGGAGCUCACUCGCUUAAAGCACAAACGACAAAACGACAGUAGACGAGUGAGAGUUGUUUUGAAUGAAAUAGCCAUAAGCCAUGUCCGUUACCUGGGUGGAUGAACCUUACGUUGGUUUGUGUGGCUCAUCGGGUUCCACGACCCACAAAACAUCCAAACAAAAAUCACAAACCCUGUCACCUUGGAGCCAACUUGUUACANNNNN